rnacentral:lncRNA from 1 species
CGUGCGGACUGCUGGGGCGCAAGCCCCGACCGGCCUCGGGACGGAGCGCAGGAUCCCGGCCGCCCGCGGCCCCCCCUCAGGCGCCGCCUACCGCAGCCCGGACAGCGCCCUCGCGGGUCGGCCUCGAUGGCCAGGAGCUGACGGAGUCGCCCCCUGGGCCGGCCGGCCGCAGACUCCCGUCAGCGGCGCUGCGGCCCCCGCCGACGUCCCCUUCCCACUUGUUCAGGGGCGUCCAGACCCUCUGAAUGGGGACGCCGACCCCGUGUCCAACGGCAGCCCAGGUGAUGUGCAACCUCAGGUGCAGCAGCCUGCCACCGUCGAUGCCCAUGGGUAGUCUCCCAGCUCCUCGCAGCCCGCCGAGCAUGUGCAGGGAGCCGGCCGCACACUGCUGACUGGAGACCGCUUGACACGCCCCCAUUUCUCUCGCCAGAGCGAGGCUCCGCGUGCCCACUUGCUGGCAGAGACAGGACAACCCUCAGGCCGCAGGUUGUUGGGGACUCUGGCCCCUGGGAACCUCAUCGAGCGCGGGCCUCGGCAGAGGGAGCUGCAGGGGGCAGCGCCUGCCUGGACCCUUGGCACUUCGUACGCAGUUCAGCACAGCCUCAAGGGCUAGGACCUGAAGGAGCCAACUCUGGUCCUGAUGACUUUUUGGUUCCUGGGAGCCCUGGCUACCUUUUGUUCGAAUUAGUUCGAGAGACUCCCUUGUAUCCGUCCGAAAUACUCGUUUUUCGUUAGCUAGUUUUGGUUCAGUAAAUAACACUGUCUUUAAGAAGACGAAUAAAGAGUUUCAGAACAUAGAUAUCUAAAUUAAUUUGCACUUCGAUUUUCUUUUGGUGAAAAAGAGAUUUAGUCUUGGAUUGUCACGUUAACAAGGAAGGCUUUUCACCAAAAGGAUCAGACUUCUGGAAAGAACUACAGGCUUAUGUGAUGGAGGAAAAGCAAGGAGAACUUGGAUGACAGCGUUUUGAAAGUUACUGGUACUACAUAUCAGUUGAGUAUUUUUAUGAUUCGACUUUCAUUUGCCGCUUCUCUUACAUCUUCAAACAGCAACAGAAACCAACACCUCCAAUUAUAUAGCCAUUUAUUCAUCUUUUUUUCUCUGUCUUGGAUAUCUGCUGCAUCAUUAUCAUCAUGCCCCCAAUAAUGGAAAGUUGGAGAGUUUUUCAUGUGAUCAUUGGAUGUCUUUAUAUUCAUUGGCCAGUGGAAUUAUGUAAAAAUUACACCCAGGUAAAACUUUAGAAAACAUAAGUAGAUAGAGAAAUAGAUAAGUGAUAUAAUGUAUAGAUAAUAGUAUUUGAGUGGCAUUUCAAUAUUUCAAUGGGCUAUUAUUUUCUCUUCUAACUUUUCUGUGUUUUAAAAAAAGUAUAAAUAAAUGUAUUUAUUUUUAAUAAAAAUAUAAACUUGAAAAAUACUUAUAUCUCACAAAGAGUAAUGAUAAGCAUGUGGAGAAGGGAAGUAUUAUUUAACAUAUGGUGGUUAGCUAAUUUAAACAAUUGGCUAGCGUCUAUCAAAAUAAAUUUCUAAUGGAGAAAAAUUUAAAUGUUGAGAAGUCAGAUAAUAAAAAGAGAAAAUAUAGGGGGAGAAUUAUGAAAUCUCUGAAUAGGGAUGGAUUUUACAAAGUUAAAACUCAUCACAAUAUUUUAGACUUCAGGCAGGACUUCUGUGAUGGUGGAGUGAGCAAAAAAUAUCAAGAAAAUCAACUCUUUUAGGACUCUAGAAAUUAACCACAGGCUUACAACAAUCUGAAGAGUGACUAUUCAAGAAAAACUACUGAGCUUCAUUAAAAACAGCAGAGUCUUUGAUGUUUAACUUGGCCUCCCAUCCCCUUGUCCACAGAAAUGCAAUUUAAAACCACAACAAGAUACCAUUUCACACCUACUAGAGUGACUAGAGGGAAAUAAUAAAUAAGACAGAUAAUAAUAAAUGUUGA